rnacentral:rRNA from 1 species
UACCAGCACCCCGAGUGGUCGGGACGAUUAUUGGGCCUAAAGCAUCCGUAGCCGGCCUUACAAGUCCUCCGUUAAAUCCAGCUGCUUAACAGAUGGGCUGCGGAGGAUACUAUAAGACUAGGAGGCAGGAGAGGCAAGCGGUACUCAGUGGGUAGGGGUAAAAUCCGUUGAUCCAUUGAAGACCACCAGUGGCGAAGGCGGCUUGCCAGAAUGCGCUCGACGGUGAGGGAUGAAAGCUGGGGAGCAAACCGGG